rnacentral:rRNA from 1 species
GAUGAACGCUGGCGGCGUGCCUAAUACAUGCAAGUCGAGCGAACAGACGAGGAGCUUGCUCCUCUGACGUUAGCGGCGGACGGGUGAGUAACACGUGGAUAACCUACCUAUAAGACUGGGAUAACUUCGGGAAACCUGAGCUAAUACCGGAUAAUAUAUUGAACCUCAUGGUUCAAUAGUGAAAGACGGUUUUGCUGUCACUUAUAGAUGGAUCCGCGCCGCAUUAGCUAGUUGGUAAGGUAACGGCUUACCAAGGCAACGAUGCGUAGCCGACCUGAGAGGGUGAUCGGCCACACUGGAACUGAGACACGGUCCAGACUCCUACGGGAGGCAGCAGUAGGGAAUCUUCCGCAAUGGGCGAAAGCCUGACGGAGCAACGCCGCGUGAGUGAUGAAGGUCUUCGGAUCGUAAAGCUCUGUUAGUAGGGAAGAACAAAUGUGUAAGUAACUAUGCACGUCUUGACGGUACCUAAUCAGAAAGCCACGGCUAACUACGUG